AUAAAGAAAUAACUCUACAGUCAGAGUACAAAUUAAAAUUCCUCGUAGUAGCGUGGAAGUCUAGCGACAAAAUGAGAACGGCUGCCACGAUGCUCGCAAUUUUUACUGUCCUCUUUGCACUGGCUUCAAUAAGCUGGGCUGUGGAUCCAGAAAAUGGUUAUACACGAGCAAAAAAACUGACAGCGUUUCAACAGCGCCAAAAAGAAUUCCAGGACCAAGUGAGUGUUAUUGAGAGGAGAAGGGCACGGGGAGAAAAGAUCACUUCAUCUUCAAAACUGAAACCCAGAAAUCAGGAGCCACGUAGGACGAAAUCAAGUUGGG